AUGAAAGAGCACCAUGUGAACACCAACCAGGCGUACUUCGGCAAUGGCACCAAACUCACAGUUCUGGAUCCAAACAUCAAAGUCACUGAACCCACAGUGAAAGUCCUAGCACCCUCCGCUAAGGAGUGUGAAGAUAGAAACAAGAAGAAGAAGAAGACCCUAGUGUGUGUAGCCACCCGCUUCUACCCCGACCACGUCACGGUCUUCUGGCAAAUCAACAAUGUCAACAGAACUGAAGGUGCCGGGACCGACAACAGGGCCUUGUGGGAUAAAGAUGGUUUAUACAGUAUCACCAGCAGACUGAGAGUCCCAGCCAAUGAAUGGCACAAACCAGAGAACAGAUUCACCUGCAUUGUCAGCUUUUACAAUGGGACUGACGAUAUAAAAGUGAAUGACACCAUUAGUGGAGAUCUCCAAGGUCAAAGUGGGGGAGAGAUAACGACAGAUUACUAUGUGAAGAGCACCCAGACUGCCAAGCUGGCCUACAGCAUCUUCAUCGCUAAGAGUACCUUCUAUGGCCUGGUCGUCAUGGUUAUGAUUUGGAAGUUCCAGGGCUCCUCAGAGAAACAGAUUUAACAGAAUACAAGCGGCCCAAGGAGGAUGUCCUGCAUGGGUGUUGAUUCUUCCAUGUGAUCAAGAACGGACUGGCAAAUGGGCAAUUCUGGCAAAUGCCAGAUGGACCGAUUCAUCUUUAGCCCAGUGGGCCUGUCUAAAUUGUAUUAUUUUUUUAGCAAAAUAAUAAUAAGUUGUCUAGUAAAGAGGUUCUUAAAGAAAAACAUGGGCAGGUGUGUUAGAAAUGCCUGGGCCGGUUUCUGGUCCCAGUUUGCCCCUGCAUGUGAUUGUAUUGUCCAUUGUGCUUAUUGUUGCCAGUAUCUCUUUAUUGCCCCGUCAAUGUGAAGAUGUGCUUUUAAGAAUCUUCUACGAACAUGAACUUGCAAUUUAAAUGUAUAUUUGAAUAAAUUCAGCCAAAACAACCUUUCCAUUAACUUACAAAAUCAAUGUCUGUUUGUUUUUCCAGUAAUUCCAGUAGAGUAUGUAUCAAUACACUUUGCUUUCCAAUUUCUAAAUGUUCAUUUGUGAAUAAUAAACGGUAUAUAAUUAGGGACAGAAUGUACCUCUCCACAGUUAAAUAUUUUCACGACCCUCCCCACAGUUUGGAUUGAUUGAUUGAUUUUAUUUGUCUGUAAAAAAAAAAAUACAUAUAUAUAUACAUAAUUUUUUUAAGUGACUGGGAUUGCACAAUAAAGUCUUGGACUUAUUUC